GGUGAACGCACGGCCCAGGUGCUGCAGGAGCCGGGUUGGUGCCUCUCGCUGGGCUCAGCCCCGGGGACCCCCAGAGCAGCGUGUCCCUGUCCCCCCGGCCAGCCCUGUGCCCUCCCAGCAGGGAAUAGAGGAGGAGAGUCCCUGGCGCGGUGUCUCCGAGCAGGACCCGGGCCAGCCCGAGGCAGGGACAGGAGCCGGACAUGCCAGAGCCAGCCCCGCUCGGCGGGGACAGGAGAGCGGCGGAGAAGAAGCGGGUGGAGAAGGUGGGAGCCAAGGGCAGCGCUGCCGGGCCUCCAGUCCCCAGGAGCCUUCCCGUGCAGAGCAAGGUGGAGCCGCCCAGCCUGGACCCUGCUGAGGAGCCGCUGCUCUGGGAAGGGCUCACCCUCAACAAGUGCAUCCUGGUGGCCUCCGUCGUCGCCUUGCUCAGCGUCACCUUCCAGGUGCUCCAAGGUGAGUCGGGAGCCGGACGGAGCGGGAAGGGGUGGUCCGACCGUGCUGCCACCUCCUGGCUCCUGUCCCCUCCUCUCUUUCAGCGCCGUGCUCCAAGGAGGGGCUCGCCCGCGGCCGGCAGGAACCUCCGCCCCCUCCCGUUCCCGGUGGGUCCCGCGCUCCGUCCCUCCCCGCUGCCCCGGAUCCAGCCACGUCCCAGGCCCUGGGAGCCCCUGUCUGGGGCAUCCCACCCAAACAUCUCAUCAUCCUCAGCUGACUGUGGCCUGUCCCUCUCCCCUCCCAGAGGUCGUGAGCCCCAAGGCGGAGGAGAUCCCGGAGGUGGUGACUGCCCAGCCUGCGCCGCCACCGGACAGCGGCGCGGUGGAGGAUGAUGAUGAUGAUGAUGACGGUGACGAUUACGAUGACAGCGAAGCUGACAGCAACCUGGCAGAACCCUGGAUCUUCAAGAAGUGGUUUGGCCGCACAACACCAGAGGAUGAGGAAAAGGAUGGGGACAAGGGUGAGGACAAGGAUGAGGAUGAAGACAAGGAUGAAGAACCUGCAGAUAUCCCUGAGGUACCAAUAGCUGUGAUGGAGGAGAAGAAGAGCCAGGAAAAGAAGGUGGAGAAGGAGGAGGAAGAAACGGAGGAGAAGGAGGAAGAAAAAGAGGGGAAUGAGGAGGAAGAAGAGGAGGAGGAGAAGGAGAAGGAGGAGGAAGAGGAGGAUGAGGAAAAGGAGAAGAAGAAGAAGCAGGAGAAGAAGGAGAAAGCCCGGGAAGGCCGUGCUGUCCAUACGGAGCGGAGCAGCCGGAGGGAGGCACGAGCCAAGGACAGGACACCGGGGGACAAACCCGGCAGAACCCCCAGGGCCCCCAGGGAACCGGAGCAGCUGCCCCAGAAAAAGCGGGACCGGGAGAGGAAGGAGAGGAAGGAGAGGCGGCGGGAGCGGGAUGAGGCCAGGAGGGAGGGGUGGAAGGGCCGUCCCGGCAGGGCUGAGGGCGGCCGGGAGAGCCCGAGGCGGGACUGGAAGCAGCAGAAGGGCAGGAAGCCCUGGGAGCUGGCGCCGGGCAGGGACGGCAGGGCCAGGGAGGGCAAGAGACGCGACUGA
rnacentral:lncRNA from 1 species